UUUAAAACGUUGACAGGGAGAGUAUUCUGAAACUACCGUGCAAGAGAGGGAACGCCAAGGCUGAAAGCUUCCUCAUGGACGUACAGGAGAAAACCACCCUUGAGUGUUGGGCUGAAAUUUAGUAAGCUCUGCCGUUCCCCGCGUUAAGGGAAAUCGAGUGAGAGGUGCAUUUUUGAACCUUUCAAUUGGGUGGAACCACGGAAGUAGAACUUUCGUCCCUAUU
rnacentral:ncRNA from 1 species